GAUGAAGAACGUAGCGAAAUGCGAUAAGUAAUGUGAAUUGCAGAAUUCAGUGAAUCAUCGAAUCUUUGAACGCACAUUGCGCCCCUUGGUAUUCCGAGGGGCAUGCCUGUUCGAGCGUCAUUACAACCCUCAAGCUCAGCUUGGUGUUGGGCCCCGCCGCCCCGGCGGGCCCUAAAGUCAGUGGCGGUGCCGUCCGGCUCCGAGCGUAGUAAUUCUUCUCGCUCUGGAGGUCCGGUCGUGUGCUCGCCAGCAACCCCCAAUUUUUUUCAGGUUGACCUCGGAUCAGGUAGGGAUACCCGCUGAACUUAAGCAUAUCAAUAAGCGGAGGA
rnacentral:misc_RNA from 1 species